rnacentral:sRNA from 1 species
GUAUAUGGGAGAUGGACAACCUUGGGUAGACAGACAGACGUGGGGAAGGGAUGAUUGGAGGAGGUGGAGGAGAGAGUGAUUCUGCCCAGCCAGGGGUGAUGUGGACAGUCAGCUUCCGAAUCAGGGUAGAGAAAGGUCACCACUAGCUAGCAGGGGAGAAGUCAGUAUGGAGGAGGCGGACCUUGAGGGAGAGUAGGAAUUGGAUUGCAAGAGGAAGGAGAGCCUUCUGGCCAGCGGCAGCCAGCAGCAGUGGGGGAGGCCGGAAUGAGCUGGCUGGAGAGGGGGCUGGGGCAUAAGGAGGGGCCUGCCUGUGAAGAUCAGAUGGGCCCGGCUGCGGAGGGCCAGGCAUGCCCGCCGGCAGUGCAGCUGGUCCACGGGAAGCAUCUGGAGUGGCUGGGAAUGGGUGCAGGAGCAGUGCCGCGGGAGCACAGGUCUCUUUCCCGGGGCGGCUCACCUGGUGUCUUAGUUCCUGCAAGCCUUGAAAAGAUCUUUUGAGGUCGAGGAGGU